rnacentral:misc_RNA from 1 species
CAUCCCAUAACAAAAUCAAUCUGAGUUUUGUGAAAUCAAAACCAUUUUCAUUCAAAUAAAUAAAUAAUUCUCUAUGCCAUUCUCAAUCUCAAUCAAACCCUCCGCCGAACUUACACCCUUAAUCCCCAAAUUUCCUCCAAAUUUCCGAUUGUCUUCUCCCAAUUCCACCACUACCACCGCCACCGUCUCUAUGAGGGGCCUCAUCUCUAGCGCCAAACUCUUUGCCAACGCCGCCAUUAGGAACAAAAUUCCCUUGUUGUCGAACCCGUCGAUGAGGGCCACUCGUGCUUACAGUCUGAUUCCAAUGGUGAUAGAGCACUCUUCUCGCGGAGAGAGAGCUUACGAUAUCUUCUCCAGGCUUCUAAAGGAGCGAAUUGUUUGCAUCAAUGGUCCAAUUAACGAUGACACGGCUCAUGUCGUGGUUGCUCAGCUUCUCUUUCUCGAGUCUGAGAACCCUUCCAAACCCAUCUACAUGUACCUCAAUUCCCCCGGCGGCCAAGUCACUGCUGGUUCAGUAACCAUAAACCUCUGAUUUUUUUUUCUCUGUACUUUUUUUAAAAAUUUUUUAUGGGUUUCUUGAAAUUUUCUAGAUGAUCACAUUAUUCUGCUUGGAUUAUCUUAUAGUUAUGUUUGUGAGUGUGUCUUCAGUUUGACGGAUUAGUAAAUCUUAUAAUUUAUUAUUUCUGAUUUCUUGGAUCAAGAUAAGUAGUAGUUAAGUAUUUUGAUUGGAUUGGAUUGUAGUUGUUUUUUUGGAUGUAGUUGUGCUUUGCCUGCUUUAUAGUGCUCAAAGAAAAGAAUUGUAACGUUUGAUACUCUUGUCGUUGCCUAACUAUUAGCAAUAGAGAUACUUUGUGGAAAGUUUAUCAGGACUUUGAAAAAGAGGGGAAAAAAAAGCAGGGGCUGGUGAACAGGUAGAAGAUAUAAUUUGUGGAAAUAAUGUCUCAUUGAGUAAUUCAAAUUCAGAUUUUCAUUCAAGUGUGUGAUGAAAAGCAGUCAUUUUGUUUGUCGCAUGCUUCUGACUCAACAUACAUUCCUAUGACCAUUUUUCUCAAUGUCUUUAUUUUAUUUAUAUUUUUAAGCUUGGAUUUGCAACUUAAAACUAGUCUUGUUCAUCUGAUAAAAUUAUUAUUUAAUAUGAUUUCAGAUGGAAAUCAUAUAAUCCAUCUGCUUUUCUUUUUCGGUAAUUGUAACUUGGGGGUUAUGAGCUCCUGAAAUGCCACUAGACGCAUGCAAAUGCGGUUCACUGCUUUGUUAUAAUAGUUCUUGCCAUGUGAUAUUUAGAUUAUCAGGUAGUGGAAUAUCGCAUUAUGCCAUUUAGUCUAGUCCUAACUUUAUUUUAGCUUAACUAAUCAUCUUAAGCAUUUGAAGUUUCUGAUUUAGAUAAUUUGCUGAGGUACUAUUUGGGUGAUUAGCUUGACUAUGAUGUUAAUUGUUGAUUUUUUGUGCGUUUUAUGCAGGUCUUGCUAUUUAUGAUACAAUGCAGUAUAUAAGGUCUCCAAUCAAUACCAUCUGUUUAGGUCAAGCUGCAUCCAUGGCUUCUCUGCUUUUGGCUGCAGGCACCAAGGGUGAGAGGAAGUCACUUCCUAAUGCAACUAUUAUGAUUCACCAGCCAUCAGGUGGGUACAGUGGGCAGGCGAAGGACAUGACCAUUCACACCAAGCAGAUAGUUCGAGUUUGGGAUUCACUCAAUCAAUUAUACUCAAAGCAUACAGGGCAAUCAAUAGAUGUAAUUCAGAAGAAUAUGGAUAGAGAUUAUUUUAUGACCCCAGAAGAGGCAAAGGACUUUGGAAUUAUUGAUGAAGUGAUUGAUCAAAGGCCAAUGGCGCUUGUGACUGAUGCUGUUGGUGAUGAAGGUAAACAAAAGGAUUCCAAAUAGAAUUAGAGGGUGAGAUCCUAGUGGGAAAGUUUCCCUGUUUUGAAUUUUGCAUCGACUUUUCUUGAUCAAUCUAUCUGAUUACUAAAUAUCUGGAUUUUGUUGAUUACCAGACAUUAUGUCUGGUUGUUUAUGGGAUAUCAUGUUAUUUAUUUCCUUGCGGAAUUAAUAUUUCAUAGGGCUUGUUAUGCAUUUGGUGACUCGUCGUAUCGACUAUACCCAUUCAUCUUGCAUGGAAAUAUUAUGUAAGUCAUUAUGAAAUCAUUUCAUAUAUUCAUACAACUUUCUUUUUCUUUUGCAUGCUUGUGGAAUUUUACCCUUAAUUUCAGCAAUGGCAGAG